rnacentral:miRNA from 1 species
UGUGUGUGUGUGUAUGUGUGUGUGUGUGUGUGUGGCUAUUAAGCCGGACACACACACACACACACACACACACACACACACACACACAAA